GGACAGUUUCUCUAUGUUAUUGUGCUACUAGCAGUACUGCAAGUUGCUGAGGAAGCAUUCAGACGAUCCGACGCUUAUGUCCAGGAACGUGAGAAUUCAGACAAACGUGAUGACGUACCAGGUUAAGGGUUAUUUGCUCCAACGUUUGCUGCUGAGUACUUAAAGGUCUCUGGCUGCUGAAGAUACUCUGUGAAACGACGCCAACAAAACACAUUCACACUGACAGAACUCUACACUGCAUGCUACAAGACAGCGUCGAGCUGACAUCGAAGACAGGUGGGAAGGUGGAGAGGGGCUAAAGGCAGACCCAUGGCUGCAGUGCAUCAUCCGGGGUGUCCACACAGGGACUCGCUCUUCUGGGAUGAAACAGACUGCCAAAACUACUAUGGGAUGUUGUCACUCCAUGAGGUCUUUGAGGUAGUUGGUUGUCAGUUGACACAAACUGACAUUGAGGUGUUGUCGUUCCUCCUGGAUGAAGCUUGUCCUGCUCCUCACCCUCUCGACCCAACAGGGUGGACAGUUGAGCCGUGUGGGGACGAUCCUAAUGACCCAGGUGUUUCUCCGAGUCCUGAGCUGCUAAAGGCCUGGAUGAAGUUGAAACCUCAGGGCUCCCAGGGUCCCCUAGUGGCCUCAUGCACCCCUAAGAGUGGGCUCGAGCUGUUGUUAGAGCUGGAGAAGCGAGGCUACCUCAGCGACGGGAAUCUGGAACCACUACUGCAACUGCUGAGAGUCCUCACUCGUCACGACCUGCUGCCGCUAGCGUCGCACAAGAGAAGACCGACAGUAACUCCGGAAAGGCCGAUGCCUCACAGCAAAAAGCAGACAGAAAUACCUCAACCAUAUUGUGCACAUCAUUUGAGAACUGGUAUUAUCCCCCCUGUGACUGAGCCAUCUGCUAGCAAGGGGAGGAAGAGGAGGGGUAAUGGCUGGAGCUGCAGGCCCAAGAGAACAAGAAGAACUGUCCCACCUCUGCCCCCUCCACCACAAGCACAUCAAGACUUUUGCAAUAUCCGCCUGCGUGUCCGGGCCGAAUACCUGGAGCACGAGUCUGCUCUCCGUGAGGGAGUCUCGUCGGACAAACAGCAGCCCCUGGAGCGGCAGUUUGAGUUGUUCAGCAAAGCCAACACUCUGCUUCACGCCAGAGACCUCGGGACCCUCGUCUGCGUCAUCAAGUUCACAGAUGUUGACAACCUGGAGUCCUUCUGGGCAGACUACCUCAGCGGAGCUCUGCUGGAGGCCAUGAAGGGAGUCUUCAUCACUGACUCCCUGAGGAGGGCCGCAGGCAGGGAGGACGUCCGCCUGAUGAUGAGUGUGGACCAGGACGACUAUGAGGAAGGCCGAAUGCUGCUGAGAGAGAGGAGAAUGGUGUCAUCUAGUAAGGGUGGGGUGGACUGAGACUCGCUGGGAUUAUAGGCUUGUAAGAGUGUGCCACUUUGUAGGACACCAGGAUGAGGCAGGAUCCAUCAAGAUAUGUCUUCUUAGACUCAGUGAGAACAAGAGCAAGCAAGAGUGUGCCAAAAUAAGUGUUUUCUCACUUAGUCGUUUUCCCUGGCCCUGCGUACCUGUAUUAGUGGAGCGUGCCCUGCUCCUGCCCCCGCCCCCGGACGGUCUGAAGAGGUCCAUCGAAUGCAGGUCACCGUGGAUCAGAUCCUUAAUUAUUUUCUCCUUGCUGUAAGCGGUCAGCACGAUGAGACCCAAGAACGGUGUGUGCUUCAAACAUCUUAUUAAACUACCCACCAUUGUGCUACGUUUCCCUCCACUUGCUUGUAGGCCCGGCUAUUGCAGUGUAGUAGUUGUAAUGUUAUGUGAUGUUGGACGCUUUAUUUAUUGUCAGUAAAAAUGUGCCUUUUUCUUUUGCUUCAUAUACAAUGCAAUCACCUCAAAUGUACACUUACAAUGUCUUCAAACAAUAUAUAAUAUUUUCAGCUGAGAUGCUUAUCUUUAUCUGAAGUUUAUCAUCUUCCUCCAUGAUAGAUUAUGGGACCUAAAAAUAUAAUUCUCUUAUGAAUAUUUAACAAACAGUCGAUAUAUUUUGGACAUUUAACCUCCAUUUUUUUUAUCCACAAAAUAAAAGCGAAACAGCUGAUACCAGAAAGGAUCUUUACCAAAACCCAAAUGAGUGACACCUAGAGUAAAAUCUAUUUCAUGGCUUCCUCUAAGCUAUGAAAUGGAUUUGAAAGGUGCUUCUCCUUAUGUUUUCAAAUACCUCCAAAGCCUUGCUCCAGAUUACAUUGGUAACAUUCGUACAGCUAAAGUCCAAUGUGAGAUUUGUGCUCAUCUCUUUCAGCUUCAAAAAAUGUACUUUUCUGUAUUGCAUUAAAUGUACAUAACGUUUAUUUAGCUCUAGUACAAAUAAUAUGGCAGCUUCUCAGAAUGUAAUCAUGGAGGACCAAUUUAAAUAGAGAGCAUUUUAUUUUAUUUCUAAAUCAGUUUUAAAAUGAAUAAGGAAUUGCAGAAUUUCUUCAGUAGUUUGCUUCAAUUCAGAGUAAAGAAAUGAUAGUUUUGUAUGCAAACGUGUCAAUUCUUUAUGAUAUUGAGGGGGUCUUUGACGUAUAGCUGGACCUUCUUGGACAUAAUUAAGUCCUCUGAUGUAGAGCAACACAGUCCACAAGCACAUGAAUAAAUAAUGUAAAUGCCGGCUAAAGGGCACUUUGAAGAGUCACCUCAUUACACUCGGAAAUCUAAGCUUGCACUCUGUACUGGCGCUGUGACGGGUGACUUUUUUUACAUUGAGUUCAAAAUGGUUUUUUUAGACCAGUGAUUUUGACACAGGGAAAUAAACU